CCGUUCUUGUGUUAUUCGCUGAAUCUGUUAAUCUCGUUCAGCGAUUGUCAAACAGAACGCAAAGCGAACUCCAGGCCAGUUUACUCCACAUUGCAGAGCCUUGAAUGCCUCGGCUUCUACAUAACUACCCGCUCGCCACAUUU
rfam:Drosophila virilis strain TSC#15010-1051.87 Ctg01_14646, whole genome shotgun sequence.